UACGGGGGGGGCAAGCGUUGUUCGGAAUUACUGGGCGUAAAGCGUGCGCAGGCGGGCUUUUAAGCCAGACGUGAAAUCCCCGGGCUUAACCUGGGAAUGGCAUGGGAAACUGGCGAGCUUGAGUGCGGCAGAGGGGGGUGGAAUUCCGCGUGUAGCAGUGAAAUGCGUAGAGAUGCGGAGGAACACCGAUGGCGAAGGCAGCCCCCUGGGUCGACACUGACGCUCAGGCACGAAAGCGUGGGGAGCAAACAGG
rnacentral:rRNA from 1 species